GAUUAAGUUAUUAAGGGCGCACGGUGGAUGCCUUGGCACUAGAAGCCGAUGAAGGACGUUACUAACGACGAUAUGCUUUGGGGAGCUGUAAGUAAGCUUUGAUCCAGAGAUUUCCGAAUGGGGAAACCCAGCAUGAGUUAUGUCAUGUUAUCGAUAUGUGAAUACAUAGCAUAUCAGAAGGCACACCCGGAGAACUGAAACAUCUUAGUACCCGGAGGAAGAGAAAGAAAAUUCGAUUCCCUUAGUAGCGGCGAGCGAAACGGGAAGAGCCCAAACCAACAAGCUUGCUUGUUGGGGUUGUAGGACACUCUAUACGGAGUUACAAAGGACGACAUUAGACGAAUCAUCUGGAAAGAUGAAUCAAAGAAGGUAAUAAUCCUGUAGUCGAAAAUGUUGUCUCUCUUGAGUGGAUCCUGAGUACGACGGAGCACGUGAAAUUCCGUCGGAAUCUGGGAGGACCAUCUCCUAAGGCUAAAUACUCUCUAGUGACCGAUAGUGAACCAGUACCGUGAGGGAAAGGUGAAAAGCACCCCGGAAGGGGAGUGAAAUAGAACCUGAAACCGUGUGCUUACAAGUAGUCAGAGCCCGUUAAUGGGUGAUGGCGUGCCUUUUGUAGAAUGAACCGGCGAGUUACGAUUUGAUGCAAGGUUAAGCAGUAAAUGUGGAGCCGUAGCGAAAGCGAGUCUGAAUAGGGCGUUUAGUAUUUGGUCGUAGACCCGAAACCAGGUGAUCUACCCUUGGUCAGGUUGAAGUUCAGGUAACACUGAAUGGAGGACCGAACCGACUUACGUUGAAAAGUGAGCGGAUGAACUGAGGGUAGCGGAGAAAUUCCAAUCGAACCUGGAGAUAGCUGGUUCUCUCCGAAAUAGCUUUAGGGCUAGCCUCAAGUGAUGAUUAUUGGAGGUAGAGCACUGUUUGGACGAGGGGCCCCUCUCGGGUUACCGAAUUCAGACAAACUCCGAAUGCCAAUUAAUUUAACUUGGGAGUCAGAACAUGGGUGAUAAGGUCCGUGUUCGAAAGGGAAACAGCCCAGACCACCAGCUAAGGUCCCAAAAUAUAUGUUAAGUGGAAAAGGAUGUGGCGUUGCCCAGACAACUAGGAUGUUGGCUUAGAAGCAGCCAUCAUUUAAAGAGUGCGUAAUAGCUCACUAGUCGAGUGACACUGCGCCGAAAAUGUACCGGGGCUAAACAUAUUACCGAAGCUGUGGAUUGUCCUUUGGACAAUGGUAGGAGAGCGUUCUAAGGGCGUUGAAGCAUGAUCGUAAGGACAUGUGGAGCGCUUAGAAGUGAGAAUGCCGGUGUGAGUAGCGAAAGAAGGGUGAGAAUCCCGUCCACCGAUUGACUAAGGUUUCCAGAGGAAGGCUCGUCCGCUCUGGGUUAGUCGGGUCCUAAGCUGAGGCCGACAGGCGUAGGCGAUGGAUAACAGGUUGAUAUUCCUGUACCACCUAUAAUCGUUUUAAUCGAUGGGGGGACGCAGUAGGAUAGGCGAAGCGUGCGAUUGGAUUGCACGUCUAAGCAGUAAGGCUGAGUAUUAGGCAAAUCCGGUACUCGUUAAGGCUGAGCUGUGAUGGGGAGAAGACAUUGUGUCUUCGAGUCGUUGAUUUCACACUGCCGAGAAAAGCCUCUAGAUAGAAAAUAGGUGCCCGUACCGCAAACCGACACAGGUAGUCAAGAUGAGAAUUCUAAGGUGAGCGAGCGAACUCUCGUUAAGGAACUCGGCAAAAUGACCCCGUAACUUCGGGAGAAGGGGUGCUCUUUAGGGUUAACGCCCAGAAGAGCCGCAGUGAAUAGGCCCAAGCGACUGUUUAUCAAAAACACAGGUCUCUGCUAAACCGUAAGGUGAUGUAUAGGGGCUGACGCCUGCCCGGUGCUGGAAGGUUAAGAGGAGUGGUUAGCUUCUGCGAAGCUACGAAUCGAAGCCCCAGUAAACGGCGGCCGUAACUAUAACGGUCCUAAGGUAGCGAAAUUCCUUGUCGGGUAAGUUCCGACCCGCACGAAAGGCGUAACGAUUUGGGCACUGUCUCAACGAGAGACUCGGUGAAAUCAUAGUACCUGUGAAGAUGCAGGUUACCCGCGACAGGACGGAAAGACCCCGUGGAGCUUUACUGUAGCCUGAUAUUGAAAUUCGGCACAGCUUGUACAGGAUAGGUAGGAGCCUUUGAAACGUGAGCGCUAGCUUACGUGGAGGCGCUGGUGGGAUACUACCCUAGCUGUGUUGGCUUUCUAACCCGCACCACUUAUCGUGGUGGGAGACAGUGUCAGGCGGGCAGUUUGACUGGGGCGGUCGCCUCCUAAAAGGUAACGGAGGCGCUCAAAGGUUCCCUCAGAAUGGUUGGAAAUCAUUCAUAGAGUGUAAAGGCAUAAGGGAGCUUGACUGCGAGACCUACAAGUCGAGCAGGGUCGAAAGACGGACUUAGUGAUCCGGUGGUUCCGCAUGGAAGGGCCAUCGCUCAACGGAUAAAAGCUACCCCGGGGAUAACAGGCUUAUCUCCCCCAAGAGUUCACAUCGACGGGGAGGUUUGGCACCUCGAUGUCGGCUCAUCGCAUCCUGGGGCUGUAGUCGGUCCCAAGGGUUGGGCUGUUCGCCCAUUAAAGCGGUACGCGAGCUGGGUUCAGAACGUCGUGAGACAGUUCGGUCCCUAUCCGUCGUGGGCGUAGGAAAUUUGAGAGGAGCUGUCCUUAGUACGAGAGGACCGGGAUGGACAUACCUCUGGUGUACCAGUUGUCGUGCCAACGGCAUAGCUGGGUAGCUAUGUGUGGACGGGAUAAGUGCUGAAAGCAUCUAAGCAUGAAGCCCCCCUCAAGAUGAGAUUUCCCAACUUCGGUUAUAAGAUCCCUCAAAGAUGAUGAGGUUAAUAGGUUCGAGGUGGAAGCAUGGUGACAUGUGGAGCUGACGAAUACUAAUCGAUCGAAGACUUAAUCAA
rnacentral:rRNA from 1 species